rnacentral:rRNA from 1 species
CUCAUUAAAUCAGUUAUAGUUUAUUUGAUGGUCUCUUUUUUCUAUUUUACCUACUUGGAUAACCGUGGUAAUUCUAGAGCUAAUACAUACGCAAGGUCCCGAGCGCGAGGGGCGGGGUCUCACAAGGAUCUCGUCCCUGCAUGCGCAGAGGGAUGUAUUUAUUAGGUUAAAAACCAGCAGCGUCAGCAAUGGCGUUUCACACAACUGGUGAUUCAUAGUAACUCUUUCGGAUCGCAUUCAUG